UACGGAGGGUGCAAGCGUUAUCCGGAUUCACUGGGUUUAAAGGGUGCGUAGGUGGGUAAGUAAGUCCGUGGUGAAAUCUCUGAGCUUAACUCAGAAACUGCCGUGGAUACUAUUUAUCUUGAAUAUUGUGGAGGUGAGCGGAAUAUGUCAUGUAGCGGUGAAAUGCUUAGAUAUGACAUAGAACACCAAUUGCGAAGGCAGCUCACUACACAAUUAUUGACGCUGAGGCACGAAAGCGUGGGGAGCGAACAGG
rnacentral:rRNA from 1 species